rnacentral:rRNA from 1 species
CGUAGGGGGCAAGCGUUGUCCGGCAUCAUUGGGCGUAAAGAGCGUGUAGGCGGCCCGGUAAGUCCGCUGUGAAAGUCCAGGGCUCAACCCUGGAAAGCCGGUGGAUACUGUCGGGCUCGAGUCCGGAAGAGGUGAGUGGAAUUCCUGGUGUAGCGGUGAAAUGCGCAGAUAUCAGGAGGAACACCAAUGGCGAAGGCAGCUCACUGGGACGGUACUGACGCUGAGACGCGAAAGCGUGGGGAGCAAACAGGAUUAGAUACCCUGGUAGUCCACGCCGUAAACGAUGGUCACUAGGUGUGGGGGGUGUCGACUCCCUCCGUGCCGAAGCUAACGCAUUAAGUGACCCGCCUGGGGAGUACGGCCGCAAGGCUA